UACGUAGGGGGCAAGCGUUGUCCGGAAUCAUUGGGCGUAAAGCGCGUGUAGGCGGCCCGGUAAGUCCGCUGUGAAAGUCGGGGGCUCAACCCUCGGAUGCCGGUGGAUACUGUCGGGCUAGAGUGCGGGAGAGGCGAGUGGAAUUCCUGGUGUAGCGGUGAAAUGCGCAGAUAUCAGGAGGAACACCAAUUGCGAAGGCAGCUCGCUGGGACGCGACUGACGCUGAGACGCGAAAGCGUGGGGAGCAAACAGG
rnacentral:rRNA from 1 species